UACGUAGGGGGCUAGCGUUGUCCGGAAUUAUUGGGCGUAAAGAGCUCGUAGGCGGUUUGUCGCGUCUGCUGUGAAAACUCGGGGCUUAACCCCGGGCCUGCAGUGGGUACGGGCAGACUAGAGUGCGGUAGGGGAGACUGGAAUUCCUGGUGUAGCGGUGAAAUGCGCAGAUAUCAGGAGGAACACCGGUGGCGAAGGCGGGUCUCUGGGCAGUAACUGACGCUGAGAAGCGAAAGCGUGGGGAGCGAACCGG
rnacentral:rRNA from 1 species